ensembl:lncRNA
UAUGCCCAAGUCAUUUUUUGCACAUAAAAUACUUUUGUGCAUUAGAUUGGAAGUAUUCGUUUGAAAAUGCUUAUUUCAGCACUGCAUGCACAUGUGAAACAGCAGAAACAUAACUGCCAGAGUAUACAAGUAAUAACCACGGCAGGCGCACUGUGCGAAACCGUGCCGGUUGCAUCAAAGACGCACAUACACUUUACCGGAAAUAUAUUGCAAAUAACCUUUAAGGAAGAUCAGUUAAGUAUACUUGUAAGUACACCUACAUUGAACUCAAAUAGAUCUCAGGCAGGCACGCUAUGCAGAACCCUGCACUGAAGCACUGAAGAAAGAGUAGAUUUAAAUGAAAGCAUUAGGAGGAUUUUAUAACUUGAAGAUGUCAAACUAACCUAGAAAAUAUUAAGCACGACUACGAUCUCAAUAAACAUGAAUGAAUGUUUAUUUUCCCCAACAAUAGGCAUAAGUCAUUUUUUCCACAUAAAAUACUUUUGUGCAUUAGAUUGGAUGUGGCCUCCGCACGCGAGGAGGGACUCGAGACCGACGGUCGAGCCAAUGGAGAACGACGCACCCUGCGUUAUGGGAGUGCAGCGCCCCCCUUUGGCCAAGACCGGAAUGGCUGGAGAACUAGCAGCUGCCUACCGCCCCCUGGUGGCAUGGACAGCGGUUAGGCUGCCGGAGUGCUCUCGGGCAACGGCACUGGAGCCUCACCUGGCCCAGUUCCGGCUUGCAGAGUGGCACAACUGCUGGGGUGCCGAGGAGGCGGUCAUCCACCUUGCGCUGGCCUUGGAGGGGACGGCAGCACGGGUGCUGCUCGACCUGGACCAAGCAGCCCAGCGAGACCUUCAGGCCCUGAUCCGAGCACUGGAGAGGCGGUUCAGUGAGCGGGUCUUCCGCAACCAGAGCCGGCAGUUGCCGGCUUCCCAACGCCGCAAGGAGGAGGAGAGCCUCGGGGUCUAUGCUGCUGAUGUCCAGCUGAUGACCCAACGCGGCUACCCGGAAUUCCCCCGCGGCUGCACGGGAGGCCCUGGCGCUCCACGCCUUCCUGCGGGGACUGGUGCCGGAGUGUCUGGGGCAGCAUGUCCGCCUCACCGAGCCCCAGACCCUCGACGCAGCUCUGGACCAGGCCGUACAGGCUGAGUGCUCCGCCCCCCUACAGCAGAACCUGAUUGGAUGUGGCCUCCGCACGCGAGGAGGGACUCGAGACCGACGGUCGAGCCAAUGGAGAACGACGCACCCUGCGUUAUGGGAGUGCAGCGCCCCCCUUUGGCCAAGACCGGAAUGGCUGGAGAACUAGCAGCUGCC